rnacentral:rRNA from 1 species
GAUGAACGCUGGCGGCGUGCCUAAUACAUGCAAGUCGAGCGAACAGACGAGGAGCUUGCUCCUCUGACGUUAGCGGCGGACGGGUGAGUAACACGUGGAUAACCUACCUAUAAGACUGGGAUAACUUCGGGAAACCGGAGCUAAUACCGGAUAACAUGUUGAACCGCAUGGUUCAACAGUGAAAGACGGUCUUGCUGUCUCUUAUAGAUGGAUCCGCGCCGCAUUAGCUAGUUGGUAAGGUAACGGCUUACCAAGGCAACGAUGCGUAGCAGACCUGAGAGUGUGAUCGGCCACACUGGAACUGAGACACGGUCCAGACUCCUACGGGAGGCAGCAGUAGGGAAUCGUCCGCAAAGGGCGAAAGCCUGACGGAGCAACGGCGAGUGAGUGAAGAAGGUCUUCGGAUCGUAAAACUCUGUUAUUAGGGAAGAACAAAUGUGUAAGUAACUAAGCACUUCUUGACGGUACCGAAUCAGAAAGCCACGGCUAACUACGUG